AAAUCAAACCCUAAAUUUUUGCGCCACCCUUGCCUUCUAAUUAACAAAAAGAAAAUUAAAAUCUGAAAAAUCAGCCUUUGAUUUACUUAAAUUAUCGGAUUGGUGAUUAGACGUACAAUUGGAGAUACACCUAUAAAAAUUGAAUUG